ACGGGUGAGAAACGCGUAGGAAUCUGCCUUACAGAGGGGGACAACCCGAGGAAACUCGGGCUAAUACCGCAUAAACUCUGAAGAGCAAAGGCUGGGUAGCGAUACCUGGUGCUGUAAGAGGAGCCUGCGUCCGAUUAGCUAGUUGGUUAGGUAAAGGCUGACCAAGGCGAUGAUCGGUAGCUGGUCUGAGAGGAUGAUCAGCCACACUGGGACUGAGACACGGCCCAGACUCCUACGGGAGGCAGCAGUGGGGAAUAUUGGACAAUGGGGGCAACCCUGAUCCAGCAAUGCCGCGUGUGUGAAGAAGGCCUUCGGGUUGUAAAGCACUUUAGUUGGGGAGGAAGGUUUGUAGUUUAAGAGAUAACAAAUUUGACUGUACCCAAAGAAUAAGCACCGGCUAACUCUGUGCCAGCAGCCGCGGUAAUACAGAGGGUGCGAGCGUUAAUCGGAAUUACUGGGCGUAAAGGGCGCGUAGGCGGUCUUAUAAGUUGUAUGUGAAAUCCCUGGGCUUAACCUAGGAACUGCAUGCAAGACUGUUUGACUGGAGUGCUGUAGAGGGUAGUGGAAUUUCCGGUGUA
rnacentral:rRNA from 1 species